rnacentral:rRNA from 1 species
AGAUUGAACGCUGGCGGCAGGCCUAACACAUGCAAGUCGAGCGGUAGAGAGGUGCUUGCACCUCUUGAGAGCGGCGGACGGGUGAGUAAAGCCUAGGAAUCUGCCUGGUAGUGGGGGAUAACGCUCGGAAACGGACGCUAAUACCGCAUACGUCCUACGGGAGAAAGCAGGGGACCUUCGGGCCUUGCGCUAUCAGAUGAGCCUAGGUCGGAUUAGCUAGUUGGUGAGGUAAUGGCUCACCCAAGGCGACGAUCCGUAACUGGGUCUGAGAGGAUGAUCAGUCACACUGGAACUGAGACACGGUCCAGACUCCUACGGGAGGCAGCGAGUGGGGGAAUA